rnacentral:rRNA from 1 species
UGCCAGCCGCCGCGGUAAUACGAAGGGUGCAAGCGUUGUCCGGAAUCACUGGGCGUAAAGAGUUCGUAGGCGGCUUUAUAAGUCAGGUGUGAAAGGCAUUGGCUCAACCAAUGUAAGCACUUGAAACUAUAAGGCUUGAGUACUGGAGAGGAGAGUGGAAUUCCUAGUGUAGCGGUGAAAUGCGUAGAUAUUAGGAGGAACACCAGUGGCGAAGGCGGCUUUCUGGACCGAUACUGACGCUGAGACGCGAAAGCGUGGGGAGCAAACAGGAUUAGAUA